rnacentral:lncRNA from 1 species
AAAAUAUAUGUCGCAUGGGAAGAAAAUGAUAUGAAAUCCUAGGACAAUGAAAAAGAAGAAAAAGCUAACAAUUGCCUUAUGGAAAAUCAUCAAGAUGACGUGGUACCUCCCACUUCUCUUAUUAUGAUCUGUUUAAAAUAUGUAAAAAAAAAAAAUAACAAAAGAAACAAACAAACUAGAACAAAUUGUUUCUACAUCUAAGAAUAUUAUCUUCUUUAUUGAAUUUAAAACUAAA